UACGUAGGGUGCGAGCGUUAAUCGGAAUUACUGGGCGUAAAGGGUGCGCAGGCGGUUAUAUAAGACAGAUGUGAAAUCCCCGGGCUCAACCUGGGAACUGCGUUUGUGACUGUAUGACUAGAGUACGGUAGAGAGGGGUGGAAUUCCUGGUGUAGCAGUGAAAUGCGUAGAUAUCAGGAGGAACACCGGUGGCGAAGGCGGCUAUCUGGACAGAGUCUGACGCUGAGGCGCGAAAGCUAGGGGAGCAAACAGG
rnacentral:rRNA from 1 species